GCAAACACAUCCUCGAACUCUUGUACUACCGCAAUAUCUGUGAUUUCAACUCCAUUGCUAGCGGGUCCUUCACUAGCAGUUACUGUUACCAGAUACGCUUCUCCAUCCUUAAGCAAAUCUUCCACUCUCAAGGCAGCUACUAAAGACACAGACUUGCUUGGACUGAUCCCGUAGAACACUAUUUGCCGUUGCCCGUUCUCCUUGAACAAAACACGACCUUUUCCACAAUCUAACUGUGCCCGGUAGCCUGAUAACCAAUCCAUGUCAAGAAUAACUUCAUAUCCUUUUAAGGGCACCACCAACAAAUCUGCCAAGAACAUCUUCUCGCAAAUGACUAACAGAACUCUUCUGAUGCAUUCUCUUGCUUGGAGGGUUUAGUCUCCGGGAGUCAUAACAGCCACAUCCAUCC
rnacentral:lncRNA from 1 species